rnacentral:lncRNA from 1 species
CUUUCUCACAAGUUUCCUCUACCUUUAAAAGCAAAGGCUGUAAUGUCAUAGUUUUGUCUUCAAAGCCAUCAGCAAAUAUUGGUCAUGUUUCAUCAAAUUGUGUCCUGGAGAGACAGAAAACCCACAUGACUCCCUUUUUCCAUUUCUUCUUACUGCGUGGGGCUUGGAAGUUAGACGACAAAGCAAGGCCUGUGGUCCCCCAGCCAGACAAUGCCAGUGUUCCUUCCUCUGUGCCCUGCUGCCUGGAGGUUAAGAGAGUAGUGACAACGUUGAUUCCAAUUUUGCACUGUGAUAAGCAACGUCUUGAAGAACAACUUCGUACAUGAAUCUUCGGCUGCAUCUCUGAUUAGUUCCUUAGAAUAUAAUCAGAGAAGUGGGAUUACUGGUUCAAAGGAUAUGCAAAUAUUCAAGCUCUUCAUAAAUAUUGUCAGAUUACUUUCCAGAAUGUUAGCUCCAAUUUACAUUCUCACCUGUAUUUUAUAAGAUGCCUCUCUGGUAUUCUUGCCAAUAUUCAGUAUUAGAGUGUUCGUAAUCUUUGCCAAUUUGUUGCAUUAAAGAAUGGUAUUUCAUUUUAAGACUGGUUGACUGCCUAGGUCGCUCAAUAAUUAUUGGGAUUUGCCUAAAUCUGAGUAUUUAAACCCUAGCUCUGGCGCCUUCUAAGAAAAUACAUAACCUCUCUAAGCCUCAGGUUUCUUUGUCUACCAAAUGGUAACAUUUAUCCUGACUUCUUAAGUUAUUGUGUGGAUUAAAUAUGUUCAAGUUUAUAAAGUGUUUAACACCGAGCCUGUCAAAUGGUAGCUAUUAUCACAGGUGUGACAAUUUAGAAAUUAUCAACACAUGAAUAAUUCCAAACUUUGCUCUUUCCUGUGUGUGUUAAAGAAGAUCCUGAUUUUGCUUAAUCAUAUUGCUCUUCCUUCUCUCUCCUUUGAAGGAGAAGCUUGCCAUGCUUUGGGGCUUUGUGAAUUAGAAUUAGGUGGAAUGAGAAAGAGAAGAACAGGAAGACACACUGACCAUUGACAGACCACCCAAAACCCAGUGGCUAACAACAAACGUUAUUCUGCUGCACAUGGGUCUGCUGUUGGCUACAGUUAGACUGACUGUGUCUGGGCUGGGCUCAGCUGGGUGGUUCUGCAUCAGGCUGUGGGCUGACUGGAUUGGAUCCAAGCUGUGAAUAGGUUCAUGUCUGCCCCAUGUAUGCAUGGUUUGGGACACAUAUGAAUAGAGCAGAAAAUACCCAGGGCAUAUUCUCAUGGUAGAUUACCAGAGCAUAAGAGGUCAGACCAAAACCCACAAGCAAAUUUAAGACCUCUGCGAUGUUAGAUCUGCUAAUAUUCCUUUGGCCAAAGCAAGUCACAUGGCUUAGCCCAACAUCGGUGGGCUGCAAAGUCUCUUCUUCCCACAGUGGGAG